rnacentral:rRNA from 1 species
UAAGGCCACCAAGGCGACGAUCAGUAGCUGGUCUGAGAGGAUGAUCAGCCCAUGGGACUGAGACACGGCCCAAACUCCUACGGGGGGCAGCAAUUAGGAAUCUUGCACAAUGGGCGAAAGCCUGACGCAGCGACGUCUCGUGAAGGAUGAAAUCUUUCGGGUUGUAAACUUCUUUUUUCGGGGAAGAAACAAAUGACGGUACCCGAAGAAUAAGCGGCGGCUAACUACGUGCCAGCAGCCGCGGUAAUACGUAGGCGACGAGCGUUGUCCGAUGUUACUGGGCGUAAAGAGCGCGUCGGCGGGUUAUUAAGUGAGGGGUGAAAGGUUCCGGCUCAACCCGCCACUGCCUUUCAUACUGAACACCUUGACUGCAGGAGAGGCUAGUGGAAUGGUCGGUGUAGCGGUGUAAUG